UNGGAGAGUAUAAAGGUUUAGUAUCAUGG
rnacentral:piRNA from 1 species